rnacentral:lncRNA from 1 species
CCUGUAUUAAAAUAUUCUAUUAAAGUCAAUACAUGCUUGGGCAUGUAUUACUAACAUGUCCUGCAAAACUGAUUAAUAUGUUUAUCUCCUGAGAAAUUCGAUACCUUUUUCACCUGUAGGAGUAUUAAUAUUCAUGCUUGGUUGAGUUUAAUAGAAUAUUUUAAUACGGGCUAUAAUUAGCUCACAGUAGUGUUUAUUUCCCAAACAGGUUUUUCUUAAACAGGUUGUUUACAAAUGGCCAAUCACAUCCAAGGUCCAAAUUCUGAACCUAGUCAAGUUUGGAAGUAGGAUUUGCAAUCGAUGUGACCAGAGGCUCUCCGUUCUCGCCUCUUGUUUCUUUCACCUUGCAAAGAGCCUCUAGAACCAGGGGGUACACUUAAAAAUAACACACAGGCAGACCAAUUGCUGCAAUUGAACUAAGUACCAGUCAAUAUAAGUCCCUGCCUGCUCGAAUCUAGGAAGUGUGGGGUUCAUGGGGCGAAGCAGGGUCACUGAGACAAAACCAGAUCUUCAUACAAUCCAACAAUUUUGAUUAUGCAGUGCUGAAAAGUAAAAACUACCAACUCCUGGGUUGGGGGAGGUGGUAAUUUACAUUGACUGGUAUUGUACACUAAAUAGAUAUGGGGUGCCAUUGAUCAGAAUCAUCAGAUGAACAGCUGCCAGUUUCGAUGUCUCAGGACUGCUGUGAUUCAAACAUGUUCUGGAGAUUAUAAGUACUAUUUUAACUUUGCUACACACUCAUAUUUUGGAACAAUUUCCAAGGACAAACUGACUAUAAAGAUCUGUAUAAAAUAUAAAUCUUACUUUAAAAUUUCCAUCAUAGAAAAUGCAAUUCACCUGCCUGCAAAAAGGUUAAUCCACUUGGAACGUUUUCCGUGGUUGUGGACAUUCAUUCCACAUCGAAUGCAUCCUGUCCAACAUCAGCGAUUGCCCAGUUUGUCAAGCAACAACGUUGGCAAAUGUUGAAGCUCUUGGA